UUCCUCAUAAAGAAAGAAGGAGCAAAGUGUGAGAGUACACGAGCGGCGGACGGCUGAGUAACGCGUAGGAACGUACCCAAGUGAGGGAUAAGCACCAGAAUGGUGUCUAAUACCGCAUGUGGUCUUCGGAUUAAAGCUUCGGCGCUUUGGGAGCGGCCUGCGUAUGAUUAGUUUGUUGGUGAGGUAAUGGCUCACCAAGGCUUCGAUCAUUAGCUGGUCUGAGAGGAUGAUCAGCCAGACUGGGACUGAGAACGGCCCAGACUCCUACGGGAGGCAGCAGUAGGGAAUUUCCACAAUGGGCGAAAGCCUGAUGGAGCAACGCCGCGUGCAGGAUGAAGGCCUUCGGGUUGUAAACUGCUUUUAUAUGUGACGAUUAUGACGGUAGCAUAUGAAUAAGGAUCGGCUAACUCCGUG
rnacentral:rRNA from 1 species